GAUUAUGGCUCAGGAUGAACGCUAGCUACAGGCUUAACACAUGCAAGUCGAGGGGCAGCAUUGGAGUAGCAAUACUCAGAUGGCGACCGGCGCACGGGUGAGUAACACGUAUCCAACCUGCCGCUUACUCGGGGAUAGCCUUUCGAAAGAAAGAUUAAUACCCGAUGGUAUAAAGAGUUCGCAUGUUCUCUUUAUUAAAGAAUUUCGGUAAGCGAUGGGGAUGCGUUCCAUUAGAUUGUUGGCGGGUAACGGCCCACCAAGUCUACGAUGGAUAGGGGUUCUGAGAGGAAGGUCCCCCACAUUGGAACUGAGACACGGUCCAAACUCCUACGGGAGGCAGCAGUGAGGAAUAUUGGUCAAUGGACGAGAGUCUGAACCAGCCAAAGUAGCGUGAAGGAUGACUGCCCUAUGGGUUGUAAACUUCUUUUAUAAGGGAAUAAAGUGAGGGACGUGUCCCUUUUUGUAUGUACCCUAUGAAUAAGGAUCGGCUAACUCCGUGCCAGCCGCCGC
rnacentral:rRNA from 1 species